rnacentral:rRNA from 1 species
UACGAAGGGUGCAAGCGUUACUCGGAAUUACUGGGCGUAAAGCGUGCGUAGGCGGUUUGUUAAGUCUGUCGUGAAAGCCCCGGGCUCAACCUGGGAAUGGCGAUGGAAACUGGCGAGCUAGAGUACGGUAGAGGAGAGUGGAAUUCCCGGUGUAGCAGUGAAAUGCGUAGAGAUCGGGAGGAACACCAAUGGCGAAGGCAGCACUCUGGGACGUGACUGACGCUGAGACGCGAAAGCGUGGGGAGCAAACAGG